GUUGCUGCAGCCAGAGGAGCUGAGGACUGCAAGGUGUUUUGCCUGGGCCGAGGUGACAGUAGAGAACUCCUUGAGACGGUAAGGUGGCAAGAUUGACACUAAACCAUCACGCUUGCAGUUAGUCCGUAAAAGUGCUCAAAGCUUAAAAUCCUCAAUAAAAGUGACUAGCCUGGCUAGCCUAGCCACUGGGCUAAAAACAAACCUAGCUGAGGUAGCAGCAGUGGAGGCUGUCCGGUAAAAUCAUGUAAAGUUGAAAGCCAGCUUAAAAUCACUUAAGAUCCAUAUGUCCGAUGACUAAAAACAUUUACCAUGUUAAAACAUAUGGGUAAAACAAUAGCCAGGAAAAAAGUGUAGCGUAGAAAAGUGGCUUAAAAACUAGCUAAAAUGUCAAUUUAUGGUGAUUUAAGAUGAAGCCUCUGGCGGGCACACCAAACGUCAAUACAUGCGCAGAGAUGUCUCCUGUACUUCUUACAUUAAAGAAGUUGGUAAAAUUGGUAUGUUAAUAUUACACGCACUUUGACCAAGUUAGAAAUUAAGGUUUUAAUAUAAAAUGUGAAAGUUUCUUAAUCCACUUCCUGAAAAUGCAAAAUGCAAAAAACACACAGAGCACCAGGUUCAGAAGAAUCCCACUGAGAUUCAUUUGCCUCAUUAUGAACAAUGUCCCUCAUCAGAUAGAUGAAAAACAGGGUUAUAUUACCGGUAUGCGUUAACAUAAAAAAAAGGCUAAUCAGCACCAAAAUACACUGAAGGAGGAGCCAACACCUCCCAGUCAUUCUAGUGUUCCAGUGCUCCACUAAAAUAACCCCUAUAAAACCUUAAAAAUUCAUAAAACCUUAUUUGAAGGAAUUCUCACAAUCACUGUAAGACAUUUAUGUCUCUGAUUUCCUGAACUUUUAGUGGAAAGGAGGAAAGGGGAGUAUUAUUAUUAUUAGGUGUGGGCAAUUAUUGAAAAACUGCAUACAUUAUAUUGAUAUAACAAGUGUGUGCUUGGUCUCACUCCUUUUAAUAGAAUUAAACUAGCUGAAGUGACUUUGCUCACCUUUGUGAAGCCUGAAACCCACUUGUUGCUGCUUGCAGCUUUAAUUUUGGGUAGUUGAACUUCUUCCUUCUGGUGAGUACAAAGAGGUUUGAACCAUUGAGAAAGGCCCUUAACCUCAACCGCACUAGUGGAGCUGCUUAGUGACCAGCAGAUCACUGUUGUACUGGGCAGCUUCCAGAUGUGAAUGUGUGUAACUGUGUGAAUGUGAUCAGGGCAUUCCUACAAAACAGAGGCUUCCUCUCAGUGAAACUUCCCUGAAUAAAUAAAGGUUUUAAAACAACCGUAGUUUGCAGCUGUAUUUAUACAUAUAUAUUUAUAUAUUACAAGAGUCUGGUCUUUUGUUAUUAUACAAUGGAAAUGUUUCAUGCGACAUGAAGACAACAAUUUUUGGUUAAUCUCUUGGUUGCUAUGGUCUCUCCUCUUUUCAUUCUUUUGCAACUUACCGUAACACUUUAUGUAUUUCAAUGAGACAUGAAUGACCAUUUGCAGAUUCAAACAUUUAUGUCUGAUAAAAUCUGCAGGAAAUUCCUCAUUGUGUUGUAUGCAGUGUGUAAAUCUGGAUCCAAAAGCAGAACACAGGCAGAUAUCCUUAAAAGGUUCAAUAGUUUAUUUCACUAUGUCCAAGUAAUGAAUGAACUCGAGGGAGCAGAUUUGACGUUUUCACCGCUGCGUUGGCAGACAGAUGGAGAAGUUGCUGGUUGGAGCAGACAGGCAGGCAGGUGACGUUGCUGAGCAAGGCACACUGGUAAGCAGGCUGUGUGGCUGAAUGAGGCAGGCAGAAGGCCCAGGUGAGUGUGGACCUGAAGCACAGGGAAAAUACUGGUAAAUCAAAGUCUUCAUACACAAAACUACUGACAGUGAUUGCUUGGCCAAGGUGUCUGUACCACAUGGUAAACUGAACGAUCUGCUGAAGACUGGAGAGGAGAGCCGGGGUUUUAUACUGCAAGGGUUGAUGAUGGAUGAGUCCCAGGUGUGCGGGUGAGUAGGUGGCAGGAGCUUGAUUACUGGGUGAGCAGCAGGUGAGUAGGUGGAGUGCCAAGACCAGACUUACACACACAUAUGCACACAUAUGUCCGGGAGAGAGGACAAACAGGAAACACCAGGAUGGGAAAACAACUGGGAAAGGGAUGGGUGGUGGAGCCGAACCAUGACAUGUUGCUGUUAUAAAAUUUACUAUUGAUGGGAGCCAAGGACACGCACAUGCACACACAGACACACGCACAAUUAUUUUUCACCCACUUUUUUUCCUGCAUUAGGACUUUUAGAAUCUGAUAUAUGGCCAUAUACAGUAUGAACACAUAUUAGCUGUAUAUGUUUACAUAUAGGAACAUGUAUUUUGAUCCAGUAUCUGUUUUUCACAUACAGUAUAUUAAAAUAUGGAGCAGAAAUGUUUGUUUUAUAGUUAAUGUUAAUUGCAGUUAACUGCCACCCAGCAUUGUUGAUAUCUUUUUGGAAAAAGAACAGUUGUCAUUUGCUCUACUGAGACAGCAUUUCCAUUUGAAAUUAAUGAUACAUUGGUCAUUUUGCCCUUUUGCCAAUAACAUGGUUCACCUCAUGUUUCAUGUUGAAAGCUGUCAGAUCUGAAAACAUCCUUAACAUUAAUGUUGCAUCAUAUUAUCAUAUCAGUAAUGUCAUAUCAGUAUUAUUUAUAUCAGUAUUUGCUUAUUGGUCUCAUGGAGAAAUUUAAGUAGUGUGUCCUUGAGAGAUAAAUUACAGGACCACAAACACACUCACAUCUAGACUUGUUCAAGUGUGCGUAUAUAAAGACCAGGGCAGCCUCCUGUCAUCACUGCAUCACUCAGCUGAUACCUGAACACCUCACAUUUACCUGACAGAGGAAGAGUCUGAGAUGUUUUCUGCUGGAGAGAUGGCUUCAUCCUCUGAAGGUCGUUUUUUCACAUGUCCCUCUGGUUGGAUCAGAUACAAGAACAGCUGCUAUCUGUAUGUGAGCAGUGCUGCAGUAAUUUAAAUGAUUUACUUAAAGAUACACUUGCAGUCAGAAUGUUCCUUUUAAAAUGUAUUUCUCUGCUGUUCAUCUGACAAACUGACUAACAUGAAAAUACUCAUUCUAGAUUUUAUUACAUUAACACAACAUUUGUGUGUGUGUGUGUGUGUGUGUGAGUAUGUGUGUGUGUAUGCCUCCUUCCAGGCUCACUGUGCCAGUCUGGGAGCCUUCUGUCCAUCAUGUGUUUGAUUACAAUUUCCUCCAGGAGCUCACUAGGAGAUCAGGAAGCUCUGGCUCCUGGAUGGGAUGAUUCUACAUCCAGGGCUGGAGAUGGGUGGACCAAAGCUCCUUCAAGUAGACUGGACUACUGGAGCUCACAGAAUACUGUCAGCCACUACCAGUACAUCCACCUUAAUGCCAGGGCUGGCUGGUCCAGUCAUGACUGCAAUAAUGGAUGGCCAUCCAUUUGCAUGAAGAGAACUGACACCUGCUAAACCUGACCCUGGGAUACAGCUGUGUGUACUGAUCUUAAUCAUAAUCCUUGGAAUGUGAUGGAGGACAUUUUGGAGAAGUGUUAGCAUACAAACCUUGCUUUGUGACUCUCCUGUCACAGGAGUUUAAUGUAUUGGUGCUGUGCUUUUCAAAUCUAAACUUUUAACAGUGACAGACUUGUUGAUUAUUUAAUGCUGUACAUAUGGAACAAAAUGCUUCUUCCUUGUUGCUACAAAAUCAGAUUUGUAACGAGGACACAGGGCCAGUGGUGAUUUCUUUUUUAACUUUGGAAUACAAGUUUUGAAAUUUAAUUUCUAUUAUAAAUUAAAAUACAUGUAAUAAAUAAAUAAAUAAUGUUUGAUGGACUGUA